rnacentral:rRNA from 1 species
UCGCCUUUUGAAAUAUAAAUAUAAAAGGUCCUGCCUGCCCAAUGACUUGUUUUAAUGGCCGCGGUAUUAUGACCGUGCAAAGGUAGCGUAAUCAUUUGUCUUUUAAAUAAAGACCAGUAUGAAUGGCUAAACGAAAGCCUUACUGUCUCUCUAGUCCAGUCAAUGAAAUUGAUUUCCCCGUGCAGAAGCGGGGAUAACACUAUAAGACGAGAAGACCCUGCGGAGCUUUAAACUCUAAUUAAUAGAUAUAUAUGUAUUUAAUAACCAGUUUUAGGUUGGGGCGACCAUGAGGUAUAAUACAACCCUCACGAUAUUUAACAAAGAAGGACACUUCAAACAACUACAUUAGCGUAUUGACCCAACAUUUGAUCAACGAACCAAGUUACCCCAGGGAUAACAGCGCAAUCCGCUCAAAAAGUCCAUAUUAACGAGCAGGUUUACGACCUCGAUGUUGGAUCAGGACACCCAAAUAG